rnacentral:rRNA from 1 species
GAUGAACGCUGGCGGCGUGCCUAAUACAUGCAAGUCGAGCGAACAGACGAGGAGCCUGCUCCUCUGACGUUAGCGGCGGACGGGUGAGUAACACGUGGAUAACCUACCUAUAAGACUGGGAUAACUUCGGGAAACCGGAGCUAAUACCGGAUAAUAUAUUGAACCGCAUGGUUCAAUAGUGAAAGACGGUUUUGCUGUCACUUAUAGAUGGAUCCGCGCUGCAUUAGCUAGUUGGUAAGGUAACGGCUUACCAAGGCAACGAUGCAUAGCCGACCUGAGAGGGUGAUCGGCCACACUGGAACUGAGACACGGUCCAGACUCCUACGGGAGGCAGCAGUAGGGAAUCUUCCGCAAUGGGCGAAAGCCUGACGGAGCAACGCCGCGUGAGUGAUGAAGGUCUUCGGAUCGUAAAACUCUGUUAUUAGGGAAGAACAUAUGUGUAAGUAACUGUGCACAUCUUGACGGUACCUAAUCAGAAAGCCACGGCUAACUACGUG